ensembl:lncRNA
UCCAUUUGCUUCAUGCAGCGCAACACAUCUCCUUUGCAUAGAGUUGAUCAGACUGUGGAAUGUUGUCCCACUCCUUUUCAAUGGCUGUGCGAAGUUGCUGCAUAUUGGCGUGAACUGGAACUGGAACACAUCGAUCCAGAGCAUCCCAAACAUGCUCAAUGGGUGACAUGGCUGGUGAAUAUGCAGGCCAUGGAAGAACUGGAACAUUUUCUGCUUCCUGCAAUUGUGUACAGAUCCUUGCGACAUGGGGCUGUGUAUUGUCAGACUGAAACAUUAGGUGAUGGCGGUGGAUGAAUGGUACGACAAUGUGCCUCAGGAUCUUGUCACGAUCAGCUUAAUCUUAAGGUGGGGCGUGAGCUCGUGUUGAUGUAGGACAAGUCCACAGUGACUGACCCUAUCGCAAGCAUCAUAUGGAAGCAUGGGAAGAACAAGGUGGCAGACUGGGACAAGGAUUUUGGUGGUCUGGACAUCUAUGCUGUCUUCAAAGAGCGUACAACCCUGAACCAGACUACUGGAGAGCUGAGAAUCAGUGGAUUGAUGAAAACAGACAGUGGAGUUUAUUCUGUGGAGUGUAACAGCAGAGCCCCAUCUGUUUAGCUAUAAAAAGUUUUGCAUGUUAUUUUGGUGUUAAUAUGUGUCACAUAUCAGUUUGCAAACUGUUGUAUAGUAACCUGUUAGUAACCCAAGUGCCUCACCUUAAUAAUUUGGUCCCAUUCCCCUUCAUAACAGCCUAAUGUUCUGACUUGGUGGUGCACAUGUAGCCUAUAGCCUGUUUUAGAGAAAUGUCAUCAUUUAGUAUUCAAAUAACUUUCAUUGUCUGCUUAUAUGGCCCCUUUAUUUAUCAUACAGUUCUGACUUGGUGUACAGGGAGAAUAUUUUAAGAACGGACCAUGUUCUUAAUUCUGUCGUUGUUCAUUUCAAAAGUCCUUGUAAUGAUGACGCUGUGACUCGAGAAGCAGGUGAAACGUUUAAUAAAAUAACAAAUAUGAAACGAGACAGCGAAACAGUGGCGACAAUGCAUGAACACAGGAACAAUACCGACAGGAAUGAACAUAAGGGAGGGACAGAUAAAGGGGAGGUAAUAAGAAAGAUAAUGGCGUCCAGGUGUGAAUUAUAAUGAUCUGCAGGUGCGCUUAAUGAUGGAUGCCAGGUGUGCAUAAUGAUGAAUCCCAGGACCGAUGGUUAGUAUUCUGGCGAAGUCAAACACCGGAGGGGAGGAGCAGGAGUAGACGUGACAGUGCUGAACAAAUAGUUAUUGUGACUACGCUCAUUUUAGCUCGCUCAUUAAUGUCAUAAUCAAAAUUACGGAUUGCCUUUUAUACACUCAUUGUUCCCUUAUGCCAUAGUUUGUACACCUAAAUUGUCAGUAGAAACCACAUUUGUUUAAGCAAGUCAGACAGAUCAGCUAUGUUAUUUAAAAGUCAGUAAAUGAGUCUGAAUGAAUUGUUUCGUUGCCAGAUAAAGCUCCGCUGAUAGCCAGUAGUAGCGGUGGUAAGGAUUCCCUCCAUGAUGCUGAAAAGAAGGGUCUGCUGUUGGGCGCCGUUUGCCACUGUUAUAGUGCAAUUAAUGUAAUUGUUAGUGUUGAGUUGUGGCUUUGCUGGCAUGCAGCUACCAUUUUAUUUACUUUUUGCCCCACCAAGAUCGCCACUGUUUACAAGACAUAAACGAUCUGUCAUCAGUACCUUGUUAUAUGUGUGUGUUUGUGUAUAUAGUGCUGUGAAAAAGUUUUUGCCCCCUUUCUGAUUUUUUCUAUUUUAGCAACAUGUUUUGGACACAGAAUAUUUUUUGAUCUUCAACCAAAACAUAAUAUUAGAUAAAGGAAACCUGAGUGAACAAAUAAAACAACUUGGAUACUUGAGGGUUUUGGCGCAUGCGCUGCUGGUUUCAGGUCCUUCCACAACAUUUAGUGGUGGUAGCUAUUCAAGUGUGUUAACUUCUGUGCAGC